rnacentral:lncRNA from 1 species
GUGGCUGUAGAGUAAGGCUUCCAAAGUAGACAUCAAGCUGGUGAUUAUACUCAAUAAGUCCAAUGUGAAGUCACGGGGCAUGCAUGGCUGCUCUUUAAUUUAAUAAAAGUUGACAAGUUGCAUCUGAGGAUUGGUUGAUUCUAUUCGAUCGAGCUUAUAGCAGCUCACGACCACCUGCUUAUGCCAAACUUGGGUAAGAUUAUUUGCAAGAUUUAUAUAGGC